rnacentral:rRNA from 1 species
UACGGAGGGUGCAAGCGUUGUUCGGAAUCACUGGGCGUAAAGGGCGUGUAGGCGGUCCGCUAAGUCUGAUGUGAAAGCCCGGGGCUCACCCCCGGAAGGGCAUUGGAAACUGGCGGACUCGAGUCCCGGAGAGGAAGGUGGAAUUCCUGGUGUAGCGGUGAAAUGCGUAGAUAUCAGGAGGAAUACCGGUGGCGAAGGCGGCCGUCUGGACGGUGACUGACGCUGAGACGCGAAAGCGUGGGGAGAAAACAGG